rnacentral:rRNA from 1 species
CGGCGAGUGAAGCGGGAUGAGCUCAAAUUUGAAAGCUGGCAGCAAUGUCCGCAUUGAAAUUGAGAAAUGUUUUCCGCGCAGGACCAUGUACAAGUUGCUUGGAAUAGACAUGUCAUAGAGGGUGAAAACCCCGUACUUGAUAUGGACGCCCUGAGGCUUUGUGAUACAUUUUCGAAGAGUCGAGUUGUUUGGGAAUGCAGCUCAAAAUGGGUGGUAAAUUCCAUCUAAAGCUAAAUAUUGGGGAGAGACCCAUAGCGAACAAGUACCGUGAGGGAAAGAUGAAAAGCACUCUUGGAAAGAGAGUUCAACAGUACGUGAAAUUGUCAAAAGGGAAGCAUUUGAAGUCAGACGUGUAUUGCAGUAUUCAGCCUUGCUUUUUGCUUGGUGUAUUUGCUGUAUUACAGGCCAACAUCAGUUUUGGACAACGGAUAAGGGUAUGGAGAAUGUGGCAUCUUUGGAUGUGUUAUAGCUCUAUACUGGAUACGUUGACUGGGGACUGAGGAACGCCGCGCACCGUAAGGCAGACCUUUGGGUACUUUUUGCGCUUAGGAUGUUG